GUUCGGUCCCUAUCUGCCGUGGGCGUUGGAGAUUUGAGAGGAGCUGCUCCUAGUACGAGAGGACCGGAGUGGACGAACCUCUGGUGUUCCGGUUGUCACGCCAGUGGCACUGCCGGGUAGCUACGUUCGGACGGGAUAACCGCUGAAAGCAUCUAAGCGGGAAGCCUCCCUCAAGAUGAGAUCUCCCUGGGCACUUGAUGCCCCUAAAGGGCCGUGGAAGACCACCACGUUGAUAGGCGGGAUGUGGACGCGCUGUGAGGCGUGAAGCUAACCCGUACUAAUUGCCCGUGCGGCUUGACCAUAUAACGCCAAAGCGGUCAC
rnacentral:rRNA from 1 species